GAAUUUCGUGCCCCUCUAAUAGGCUGGUCCACAGAACCUACCCACUGCAGCAAGCUAAAACCCACCAUACAAUAAAAUUUUGACAGCAUGACAUGACUAAUAUUAUACUACCCAACUUGUAAAUGUAAAACAGAACAAUUCAUACAGUUCACAAACCACAAUUCCAUCCAGUCAUGCCAACACAUUACCAUAAGCCAUAAAUUAAAAUCAUAAAUUACAACACAUCAAGUGGUCUCCAGUUACUCUAUUUUCAAAGCCAUCAUUCAAUUUCAAGACAAUUUAUAAAAUCUUUUCAUUUAAACACAUUUUGUUUAUAAAACCUAAAAAUUAACCAUUUAAACUCAUUUUCCAUAAAAUUCACAAAAAUCGAAUAAAAAGACCACUUUAGAUAGUUAAAAUGAUGAUAAGGUUACUCACUAUUUCAAAAGUCGAAUUUUUAGAGUACUCCGACUAUCUAUCAUCGGGUACAAUUUCUUUGCCUUUAUCGGAGGAUUCACUACCUAGACAUAAUACACAAUCAAACAAUUUACCACAUUGGUGCUAAACCGUUAUAAAACUAUAUGAAUGCAUGAAAUGGAAUGUAAAUUAUUCGGAUUAUUGUCUAAACGCGGUGUUUUACACAAAUUCAAUUGUGUACCUAAAUAAAACGGUAUUGGCCCAAUUCGAUCUAUCACCCGAUUAAUUGGCCAAUAUGUCCAAUUCAACUCCAAUUAACUCCAUUUUUCUUUCAAUUCUCCAAAUUAUCAAACACAAGUCAAAUAGCAUAAAAUUUAGCAAAAUCAACUUCACAUUUUCUUUUGGAAAUUUCGGCCAUGGUGGGUGCAUCAACUGUCACGACCCGAAACCUCCCUCAGGCCCAUGACAAUCGCCGCGACGUCCCGAUUGACACUCAUUAUUCGGAAUGCCAACCGGAACCCCGCAGGGCUUACAUAUCAGUUUCUUUCCUUUCCUGUGAGCAAUCAUUGUUAAAUAUCGAGUUUUUAGAGAAUAUAUACUAUUUUAGAUAAAAAACAAUCAAAAUAAAAUUUUCGCCACACAAGGGUAUUUUGGUCAUUUUUUUUUCAAAAAUUUCGAAACUGGCUAAAACGUAAUAUACAAGUACAAAACACAUAAUUCAUAUUCAAAAUGAGUUUAAAAGUCUAAAAUCUUCAUUUAAAACGAAAUUACGGUUAUUUGAAUAUAAUAAGAAAAUAAAAGAAAUAUUAAGGAAAAUAUUCUAUUUUCUUAUAAAACAAUAUUUAUAGAGUUAUACGUGAAUAAUUUUUAUAGCGUAAAAGCUAAAUAAAUUUAUACAUACUGAAAUACAGUAAGCCAAAAUAUUUAAUUUAAUUUACAAUAACAAGAGGGCCCCCGAAUAAACAAAAGUAAAGAGGACUGUGAACCUACGGUUUGGAAAAUGCAGAUCCAAUGGUAGUCCUCGAUGAGAUCAGCUAUCUACAGUCUAUACUGAACCUGAAAUGGGUGGAAAGGAGUUGGGUGAGAUUUUGCAAUCCCAAUGAGUAAACAGACAUUAUCAUAAAUAUCUAAAGGCGAGUAAAAUGGAGGCAAGUUUAAACAACAAAUUUCAACCCAUUUCAUAAUGUUUUCAAUUUAUUUCUUAAACCAUAAAAUAUUUGUAAUUUACCAAAACAGUUGUUAAGGCUUAUGUCUUUUAUUAAAACAAGGCUCAAGCCAAAACUAAUCCUCGGGGAUACCUUGGCCGAGGCAUCUAACCGAGUCCGCCAAGGGUGUUAAAAUAUUCACACGUGAAACACAUUUUUAUUUUUAAAACCAGCCGUUCCUUGGCGUUGGCCGAGUUACACAUUCACGUGGGGGUUCGACGUGAAGUGAGCUCUAAUACUACCCCGGGAGUUACCCUCCUCGCCUCUACAACCGGAGUAACUAUAUAACUGGGUUUACCGUGCCCCUCUAAUAGGCAGUCCACGGAAACCCGUCACUGCAGUGACUAACCCACCAAUUUUAAUAAAAUUUCGACAGUAUAACGUGGCUUUUAUUUAUUUAUCCAGCCUGCAUAGUAAAACAACUUACAUAAAUUUCCCAAUGCAUUCACAAAAUAUAGCCACAUAUACUCAUUUCUCAUAAGCCAUUCCUAGGAAAAUAUAUAUUUUUCAAGUCAAUUUGUAGCCUCCAAUUACUCAAUUUCAUAAUCAAUACAAUAUAUUUUUAUUUGUCACAUUUAUUCCUAAAACAUCAAAAAUCCCGUUUUAAUCUCGUUCUCAUUUCAUAAAAUACAUAAAGGGCAUUUAAAAUAAACUCUAGAUAAUUUACAAUAAUAAUAAGUUUACUCACCGUUUGUACAAACUAAAAGCUUUCUAAGCGCCCCGAUCACUACUCGUCGGGUACGACUUCUUUGCCUUUUCCGGAAGGCUCUCCUCCUAGACACAUUACAAAAAUUUACACAAUUCAUCACAUUGAUGCUAAAUCACUAUAUAAUUAACUUAAAUCCUAUACUAAUGCAUGGUAUGAAAUGCAAUAGCCUAAAACGGCUUAAACGCGGUAUUAACCUAUUUUUGGCACUUUGCCCGAUAAAUUGCUAACGCGCUCCAUUUUAGCUCUAAAUCAUCCCAUUCUCUCUCCAACAUUUCUAACCAUUAAAUAUCAGCCAAUAACCUUCUAAAAACAACAAAAUCAGCUCACUCCCUUCCUUGGAAAAUUCGGCCAAAAAUGGGACAUUAACUCGGUUAAUUUUCUACUUUGUUUUUCUAUCACGUUUAAUCGUUUUUCAUCAUUUUCUCUUCAUUUCCCUUAGAAUAAAAUCAAUUCAUCAUCAUUGUACAGCAUUGAGCAUCCAGCCAAGAGUGGGUAUUGUGAAAAUUUAAUGAUUUCUUGCCCAAUUUAAUUUCUAAACACAUUUAACUAACUAAAACUAUCAAUUUAACUAAAAAUCAAAACCUAAAAAUUUCAAUUUCUCUCCCCUAGAAUUUCGUCCAGCCCUUGAUAUCACUUUUUGAUCUCUCUCCUCAAGCAUGCUAAAUGGAAAUAAAGGCAUAGGAAAGGUAGAAAUCAAGCUAAAAUCGAAAAAUCUUACCGUUAGACGCGUAAACGGUCGAAAACCGUGAAUUUCCCUUUGAAUUUUCUUGUUUCUCUUUGGUUUUUCUUUUUUUCUUCCUUUCCUCUCUAUUUCCUCUCUUGUUCUUCCUUAUGGUCGGCCAGCACUUAAAAUUUGGGUUUAAAUGGGCUGACUUUUCAUUAAAAUAAUAUUAUAUCAUUAAAAAAUGCCACAUGUGACUUUCCCAUUGGCCCAUUUUUAAAAUUUCAUCCAUUUGUUUCCAAAUUUUCACCAUACACUUGUCUCAUAUAUUCAUAGCUUAGAUAAAAUUCUCAGACUCAUCCAAAGUCUCGGUGGUGUAAUUUUUGAAAUUUACACUUUUACCCCUGUAAAAGUCAAAAAUUACAUUUUUACCCCAAAAAUUGAAAAAUUGCCCAUAGACAUAUUUUUCAUCCCUUAUACUCAUACCAUUCUCCAAUUUGUCAAAUUUGAUCUAAAUUCUCUCAAAAUCUCAAAUUUUAUCCGUGGGUGGUAAAAUUACGAUUUUGCCCCUACACUCCAAAAAUCACCAGAAUUAAACUUUUUCACUUCCUAUCAUUAAAUUUUACUCCAAAUAGUUAAUCUUGGUAAAAAAUUUCACUCCAUGAUCAAAUUAUUAUCUUAGGUGGCAAAAUGAUAAUUUUGCCCUUGAAUAUCAAAAUUUUCAAUUUUACCCGAAAUGAACCCUCGAACUCCGAACAAUAAUUUUUAGUCAUUCCUGGACUAUAAAAUAUUAAAUUUCAUCCUAAAAUUCCUAUUUGAACUAGUUCGAGGUUAAAUCAACUCAAGUGUACCGUUAGGUACGAUAUCGGGUUUCGUCUUUUUUUAGGUGCUUUCCUAGCAUAAUAACAUGCUACUCAGUGCAUGUAUGUCAUGACAUGUAUUUAUAGGGUCGGGUUUUACAUCAACACUAUGAUUUUUUCUACUCAAUUUUCUCACCGUAAUUCAUCAUUUCCUAACCAAUUAACUUGAAAUAAAAUCAAAUCCACCAUCAAUCUUCUACAUGGAAAAUUCGGCCAAUGAUGGGCAAUGGAAGAACAUGAAUUUUUCUUGCUUGAUUUUUAUGCUACACAUUAUUAACUAACUAAAAACACUAAAAUAUCUUAAAAUCUAACCAAAUCAAGCAUCAAAACUCCUCCCUCCAUGUCCGGCCAGCAAGAGACCCACCAUGAAACCAUGUGAUUCAACCAUGGAAAAUGCUAAAAAAUGUAUGGGAAAGGUAGAUCACAAGCUAUAAUUGAAAAAUCUUACCUUUUUUCACUUGUUUCCUUGAAUUUUCACACUUUUCCCUUGAAUUUUUCCACCUAGGGUUUUUGUUCUUCUUUUCUUCCUUUGUUCUUCUUUUGGCCGGCCAUAAUGAAG
rnacentral:lncRNA from 1 species